rnacentral:rRNA from 1 species
UACGUAGGGCGCAAGCGUUGUCCGGAAUUAUUGGGCGUAAAGAGCUCGUAGGCGGUCUGUCGCGUCUGUUGUGAAAACUCGAGGCUCAACCUCGGGCCUGCAGUCGAUACGGGCUAGCUAGAGUGUGGUAGGGGAGAUCGGAAUUCCUGGUGUAGCGGUGAAAUGCGCAGAUAUCAGGAGGAACACCGGUGGCGAAGGCGGAUCUCUGGGCCAUUACUGACGCUGAGGAGCGAAAGCGUGGGGAGCGAACAGG